ACGCUCGACACCUACGGGAGGCAGCGGUUGGGAAUAUUGGACAAUGGAGGAAACUCUGAUCCAGUGACGCCGCGUGAAGGAAGAAGGUCUUCGGAUUGUAAACUUAUUUUGUCAGGGAAGAAAAAUGACUGUACCUGAAGAAAAAGCACCGGCUAACUACGUGCCAGCAGCCGGCGGUAAUCUGAGCGGGCGUGGCAAGC
rnacentral:rRNA from 1 species